UAAAGGCCACGGUUAGGAGCCCCAGAAGGUAGAGCAGAAGUGAACAACAGAGAGGGCCUCUCUGAGGCUCCUCAAUGAAAGUUGAAGCCCACUGGGAAAGUGAAGAAAAUCUCUUCAAUAAAUACCCACUGCUCCAUCGUGGUUGGCUCAUGAUGCACAGCAUGAUACUCUCUUCUGAUGCUGAGCAGCCGCAGAUCCCAGAGAGCCAUGCGGUGAUGAAGAUGGAAAACCGAUGUUCUACAGUGUACCGUGCUGCCGGUGUCUUUUGGGCAUCUCUUCCACAGAAACCUAAUCAGCUUUCUGAGGACCAGUAGGAGAGUAUGGCCUUCGCAAAGCUAAAAUGGGGAAAACAGCUUGAGAAUGUUAUGAAGCAAGACAGACUGACGUGAAAGAUAUUUUCAUCUCUGAUCACUCGGUGCCAACUCAGGGCAAAGUUAGGAAAACAGUGCAUGCUGUAAAGUAAUACUGAAUGGAACAGACCCAAAGUUCUGAAUAUAACAUUCAAAUUAUGUGAAGAUUUAAUUUGUUCCUGGAGGGAAAGCCAAUCGAAAUCACAAGUUCAGUGAGAAGAUUGUACCGGAGACCUUCAUACAUGUUUAUUUUCUCCAAUGCAAGAGGAAAGAUUUAUUUGGGUUACAGUUC
rnacentral:lncRNA from 1 species